rnacentral:lncRNA from 1 species
AUAAAAAAAACUGUAAUCUUCAUUUCUCCGUCGGCAGUGAAACCAUCUCCGCUCCUUCCGACGAACGGACCUUCAAUUUCGAAGGUACUUACCUAUUCGCUCUUCACUCCAUUUAUUUUUUUAAAUUUUAGGUGACUAUUUAACUAAUCUAUUGAUAUUCGAAUUAUGAGGAAGAUAUAUAUUGAGGCAUUGAAUAUUUUAGGAUUCCCGGACUCGAUGUUUGCUUGUAUAGCUUUUGCUCAAUUUCAUCUAAAAGUUUGCUCCUUUUGUUCCUCUGAAAUUCUGAAUUGCGCGCUGUUUGUUCUUUUUGUGUAGUAUCUACUGUUUUUGUGGUGUAAAUCAGUAGCGUCGAGUUCGCAUUGUUGUUCAGAUUUUAUGGUUUUGAGUUUGUACUUAGAAACACUAAAGGAAUGAGGAUAGUUUUAGUAGAGCAUAGUUGUCGGGAGAAAUCCAUUGAUUCUUCUGAAACCUAAGUAUAUAUGUGAUUUAUGCGUUUUUCUACUUAUCCUCUUCAUCUGGUUGUUCUUUUUAAAAAGAAAAUGCAUAUUUAGGUGUAUUGAGUUCAUAAAGUGUCACAAAACUGAAUGUAAGGUUUUUAAAAAACCGAAGCUACUGAAGACAUUUGUCAUUUUGUUAGUGUUUAACUUAUCAAAAACCUAUCAAAAGAUAAAUGAAUUGACUAGUUGGUUUUAGGAGAACGGUUAGCUGUUUUGAUUUUCUGAAAACGUUCUUACAGUUUAGGAUGAUAAUUUGCAAAGGCCAUUAAAACUUGUCAUCUUUUAUACAUUGGAAUUCUAAUAUCCACAUAUCCCUAAUAUAUCCAAUUAAACAUCAAUUCUCUAAGAACAUAGUUGAUGUUCUUGCUUGGGGCUCUAUUGGCCAUAUUAUUGCUUAUUAUGUUCUUGCCAAUUCUAGAAAUCGAUAUGAUCUUAAGUUCUUUGGCUGAAGAGUCUUCUUGUUGAUUUGCAUUCUUCCAUUGACACGGCCUUAUUUGUUUUACAGUAGCUUAAGCUUGUAUAUUGGCAAAGAGUUAUUAGUUCUACAUUUUUCAUUUCUUUGUUCAUCCAUGGUUUCAAUAUUUUUAUCUUUAAUUUUUUGUUCAAAUUUGAGGUUUAUGAUUAGUUCAAAAGUAUAGAUACAGUUAUCACUACAUUUCAACGGAAAACACAUACUCCCUCGGUUACAAAUUAUGUGAUGUGGUUUUAGUUUUGACUCGACACGGAGUUUAAGAAAAAGUAAACUUUUGAAACUUUUAGUCUUAAGCAUGUUAUAGUGUUUGUGUGGCUAUAAGAAGUGUAAAACUUGUGGUUAACACCUUCUAUUUGUGCCUGCAAAUGGUAUAGGAGUUCAAAUAUUCAUUGGCAUACUCCCUCUUUCUCUUAUCUUAUUAGUUUAGUACCGGUUAUUGGUUAAUAGAUUUUGAUGAGGAUGUGUUUGGUACAAGGAAAAAUGACUUCCACGAAAAUGUUUCCGUUAGUAAAUCAUCUUAUAGUAUUUGGUAUGACGGACGCCAUUUAAUGGUUUUUCCAUCAAAAGGAAGAAAAUGACUUGUCUGAUCACUAAUAGCCGAAAGUCAUUACCCUUACAACUAUCAUAACCUUUAUCUUCAUAUUACUUCCAUACAACAACUCCUCUUGCUGCAUUUGCUAUAUAACUGAUAUGGCAAAUGCGGUAACAACAGAGCUAGCAUAUAUCAUGAACGUUCACGUGAACUCAAUAGCUUUUGUUUAGACCCUACAUAUGAAUAAAAUUAUAUUGAUGAAAACAGAUAUGAAUUACAUAAACAAAAAGCUCUCUAUUCAUGGUAUUCAUGAAAAUGUUUAUUGGAACCCUACAUAACAUUAACGAUAAAAAGUUUAUGUAUAAACAAGAGAAUCUCUAAUAGAGCACAACUCUUUAACCACCUCCUUGAUAUUUUUUCUUUCACUUGUAUCAUACAUUGAACAAGCAACUCCAACUCCAAAUAAGGAGACUAAACCCUCACAAUUUUGUGCCUUCUCAUGCCGCUUGGAAUUUGAGAGCUCUGAUCUUUGCUUAUGACCAUUUCCUCUUCAAAUUAAGAACGUGAUCUACUAUUCAAGUGCUCCCUCACCAUCUGGUAGGACAUUCUUGACUAAAUCAUGAAGGUUUAAUUCACCGUGAACAUGCAGUAGACAAAUAAAAUUUUAUUAAAUUUAAAUCCACAGUAAUUUGGAUUUCAUCAUGUAUUAAAUACAUAUUAGUCUAAAUGAUACUAUGGGCUAGUAUAAUCCGGUUGAUUAUUUAAAUCUAAAAUGAAUUAAUUUAAAUAAAAGUCCAAUGUAUUAUUGGGCUAGCCCGUCAAUUGAUCUUCUAUCAAAUAGGUCGGCGCAUAAGUCUCAAGCCAAAUGACCACUAGGGUUUUCUUGGAGACUACUCCACCCCACACCUAUAUAAUGGCGUCAAAGGAGAAGGCUAAGAGACACGCAAGUAAGCAGAAAGAAAGGCUAAAGAAGCUCUAAAGAAUAACAUCAAAGUCUCCAUCCAUAUCUGCAAUCAUCGUCUGUGGUCAAAUUUCAAAGGCAAACUCAAAUCAUCGGCAAGCGGCUUCAAAUCUUCCGUUCAUAACCCAAUGCCAAAUCCUGGUUCGUGACGACCUUCAAAUUGUUUAUGACGUAUUACAAAUCUGAAAUCCGUCAAGUUCAAGAUCAAGCUCUCAAGCUCUUGAACCAUCGUCCGUGAGGAGAAGAAUCAGAUGACUACAUCUCUUUGGAUCUAGAGAUAUUUUAGAUAUUGUAACCUUAUCACUUGAAAUCGAAUAUAAUAUUUGCCGCUAUAUUUUUGGUCUUGAUUAUUAUCUUUCUGGAGUGAAAUUUAGCUGUUACAAAUUUUGGCAUGCCCAAUGGGACCAUUUAUACCUCUCAUCUCUUCUCUUCCAAGUUCAAGAACACCAAGAUGGCUACAGUAAGAAACAACCGAGAUCUGACUCCAAAAACGGAUUGGAAGUUGCCAAGAUUGUUAAAUCAAAAGAAGCAAAGCCGAAAUACUAGGACAACAUGUGCUUGAAGUGCCGUCCACAACCCAUGUUUUCCGUUCAUCUUCUCCAAAUGAAGUGAGAUCAUCGUACAUGUUAGAAUAAGGGAACAACAUCUCUGAGGUGGUCGGACGAACUUUGGCGCGAUUCAGUCUUUCAAAAGAAUGCCAUCGCCAGUCCCACAAUCCCUUUAUGCAGAAAGAUGAUAAUGUCUUGAGCAAUGAAUUUUCUCCAAUCUCUCCUUAUGUCACUCCACAAUCUGCUCUCUAAGUGAUGAUCCAUACCAUUACAAAGUACAUGAAAAAUCAAAUAAUAAACUUUCCAAGUUGAUGAAUAAGGUAGAGACUAUGACUGAGGAAGAAUCAAGCCAAGCACCUAUGAAGCUUUCGUAAAUUCAAGAGAAAGGAGAGUCCUCUACAAAGCUAACAACAAUGACCAAAGAGCUCCAAGUCUAUUCUGAUAGGUAGAUUCAUGUUGAGCAAUUGAAGGACUUCAUCAUAGGGUCCAUAAAUGAUAAAAUUGAGCCUUCGACUAAAUCAUUCCUUACAUAUGCAAAGCCGUACGCCCGAAGGAUUGAUAACUUGAAGAAGCCAAGUGAAUAUCAACCCCCUAAGCUUCAACAAUUUUACGGUAAAGGGAAUCCCAAGCAACAUGCUGCACACUUCGUCGAGACAUACAAUAAUGCUGGAACUUAUGAUGAUCUCCUUGUCAAGCAGUUUGUUCAAUCUCUCAGAGGAAAUGCUUUCGAUUGUUACACAGAUCUUGAACCUAGUUCCAUUCAUAGUUGGGAGCAACUCGAGCAGAAAUUCCUUAAUCAUUUCUAUACCACGAGGCGCAUUGUGAGUAUGAUUGAACUUAUAAAUGCCCCCAAUAGAAAGGAGGAGCCAGUUAUCGAAUUCAUCAAUCGCUGGAGGAGUUUAAGCCUUAACUACAAAGACCGUCUUAGCGAAACUUCUGAUAUUGAAAUGUGCAUCCAAGGUAUGCAUUGGAGCCUUUGCUACAUCUUGCAAGGAAUAAAGCCUAAAACUUUUGAAGAUUUGGCCACCAGUGCAAAUAUUCAUCCGAAGAUGAAACCGAAGAGUCCAUGCAUGUUACAACGCUCCUUAAUGCAUGAGCGCAUGUUGCUAUCCUUGUCAAUGCGCGAGCCUAAAUUGCAAGUUAUGGCGCUCCUUGAUACACGAGUUUAAGCUGUAUGUCACAGAACUCCUCAAAUUCAAGUUAAAUCUCCAACUUGUAAAGCUCUUCAAAAAUUAGAAGAAAGACUUCAAAGCGAAGCUCUUCAAACUCGAGCCAAAAGCUUCAACUUGUAAAGCUCUCUAAAUUUGAGCAAAGUCUUCAAGUUGCAAAGAUCUCCAAAUUUGAGCAAAGUCUUCAAGUUGCAAAGCUCACCGAAAUCAAGCAAAGACUUCAAGUUGCGAAGCUAUUCAAAUUUGAGCAAAGUUUUCAAGUUGCGAAGCUCUUCAAAUUAAGCAAGUCUUCAAGAUGUAAAGCUCUUCAAAUUUGAGCAAUAUCUUCAAGUUCCUAUGCUCCUUGUCCGCACGAGUAUAAACUGCAUACAAAAAGAAAAAGUGCUUAUACUUUAUAUGAACUACGUAAUGACUUGAUCCUCUUUGCUGGGGUAGGUAGGCAACUUAGAGUUCAUUCUAAGUUUAGUCACUUAAGCAACAUACGAAAAUCAAUUCCAUUUCACAAUAGCCAAAGAGGAUGCUAGCUCCAUGUAUGCACCAUGCGCUUCUUUGGGCAAGUUAAAGAAGAAGUUACUCCCCCACCUAGUGGGACUUUACUGGGUCGUCGUUGUUGUUGUUGUUAUUACUCCACAUCAAAGCUUAAGGGAUGAUGCGCCAUGUUUGCUUUCAUCCAACCUCAUGAAAAAAAUUGCUUCAUGUGCUUCUUUCGAUAAGGGUUGAAGGACGAGAUGCUUUGCUAGAUCCGUAACUCGAAAUAUGGAGCACUACAUGUAUCUUGUCAUCAAGUCAUGAGAAGGACGUUCUAGGCACUUCUUCACCAAAUUGCAAGAAGACGUGGUUUUAUGCUAAAGCUUGGAGGUUAGGACACUCCAUAAACUUCACCAAGUUGCAAUAAGGAGUCGUUCUAUGCCAAAGACUGAAGGUUAGGAUAUUUUGCUAACUUUCUCACCAAAUUGCAAAAAGAUGUGGUUCCGCACAAAAGCUUGAACGUUAAGAUACUCCAUGCAUUUCUUCGACAAGUUGCACGAAAGGGUGGUUCCAUGCCAAAGAUUGCAGGAUGGCUGCUUCCCAUACUCGCUCGCAAAGGAUAAAAGAGUAGUACUCCAAGUGUCAAUCUUAUCAAGCCGCAAAGGAUGGGAUGCGUCACAUGCUUUCUCGCAGGGUGAAAAGGAGUCGCUCCAAAUGUCUCCUUCUCAAAGCCGCAAAAGUAGGAAGACUCUAUGAAAUUCUCUCGCCAAGCUGUAAUAAAGAGACGAAUGGUUUGUUCCCAAUCAUGUGUACAUUUAGUGAAUCUUCUUGUGGAUAUCAAGAUUGCUAAUAUUCUCUCAAAAAAACUGCAAAAGAGAAAAGAUUUUAGAGCUUCAUGGUGCCAAUGGCAUGAAACUUUUGGUUCUGUUUCUUUGAUCGGUGCCAACGACUAGGGGUAUGCAUUCGAUUUAUCGAUUCGAUUUUGACCCUUAUCGACAAUUACUUAUCGAUUAUCGAUUCGUACAUAUGCUUAUCAUUAUCGUUUCAAUAAUGUUUCGAUUUUUUCGAUUUCGAUUUAUCGAUUUUUGGGCUCAUCGAUUUGGUUAUCGAUAACACCAAUAAGAAAAUUUACGGGAUUCUACGGAAAGUAUAUCGCUAUAAACACGCGUAACUAAUAUGGACAAAAAGGUCAUUCUUGUCAUAUACACGAUGAAUGGUUGAUGCAACAACUUUGCUAUACUAAGAUAUUGGAAAUUCUCUGUUGAUAGAUCCAUAUUCGAAUGUGCUUAUUUUACUUAUUGAUUUUCAAUUAGCUCUUCUAUCAUAUCUCUAGUCAUUUUGUUGCUGGGAUUUUAUUAGUCAUCGGAUUUCUUACUCUUUAGUUACAUAUUUUUUUCCUUGGACUGUAUUACACAUAAUACAAUUUUGUAUUGUAUUCGGUAUGUAUUAGUUGAAUUUUUAAUUUGGGAGAUUGGUCUGUAAAUUACCUAACCUCAGAGCAUAAGCAUGCGCCUGACCAGGCUAACCAGAAAACAAUUCACAAACAAACAAAAAUUGAUCAAUAAAAGAAAAUAAAGAUGCAUGUUUCAACCGAUCAAGUUGCUCAUUUAACACAAGGAGUCAUCCCCACUCCUCACCCCACAAUAAUCCAAAUUAAAAACUUGUUCUAUCUUCUUGAUCAAACACAAACGUUAAAACACAUUGACAAUACAACCAAUCUUUUAUGUGUCUAGUUCUCUAAUACAAUUAGAUAGUUAGCAAUAAAUAUUUUUUUGUGACCUAGCCUAUCACAUAAAGUAGGUAACUUGAGGAUCAGUGGAUAAAACACUAAACAUAACCUACAAAGUAAUUGUUGUUAAUAUUGAUCCACUACAAAGUAAAUACUUAAUGACUCUUUACUUGAUAAAAGUAAAGUAAACGAUAUGACUUUGAAGACGUUAUAGUUAAAUAUAUUAAAAUCAGUCCAAUGGAGCCAAAUAUACAUAAUGCCAUGAAAAACAGAACAAACUCCACCAUUAAGUAAACAGAAUAUUGAAUACCAUAUCACUGCUACUAGCUAAGGGACAAUUAAUAGUAUUAAAUCGCCGUGGCUCCACCCUAUACAUACAAAAUCUUAUACGGCAAAUUUGCAUCACCAAUUUUAAUCAAUUUGGAACUUAUCAAGUACCGUGUUAGCAAUAUUGUUAGAAAGCCAAUCAAGCCCCUCAUAAAGUCCCUCAUAAACUCAUAGCUGUAGCAACUACCAUAGACUCUAAACAGAUCAGAAAAAUGCAACUAAACAACUUGCAAUAAUUAAGACUAAACAACUUCUACCAGUUAACUAUUGCUAAACAGAAGUUGACAUUUAAUUCUUACCAAGUAGAACAUGGAUGACAACAUAUUACCCUAAUACUAAAAGAACUUAUGGUAAUUUAAGCAACGAGUAGCAGCAGUAAUCCAAAGCAUAGUUCAUUGACUUCAUUCAAAGCAUAGUUCCAGAGGUCACAAAACAAAUACUAGUUUAACAAAACAAACAGUAUUUCCUAAGCAUAGUUCCAGAAGUAGUUGAGUCAACUCUUAAAAUGCCUCAUUCUCUCCAAAUCUUGAAAGUCCUAAGCUUUAAACCUGGAAGAAAUAAAGAAAAAUAUUAAGAAUUUUGUAAUACAUCACAUUCUUUUACAAGUAUAUUAUUUAAAAUGGAGAACUUACAUAGCAACUAAUAAACUCUAGCAAACAUCGUAUUUCCAAAGCAUAGUUCCAAAGGUAGUUGAGUCAACUCUUAAAAUGAAUCAUUCUCUCCAAAUCUUGAAAGUCUUAAUCUUUAAACCUGGAAGAAAUUAAGAAAAAUAUUAAGAUUUUUGUAAUACCUCACAUUCUUUUACAAGUAUAUUAUUUAAAAUGGAGAACUUACAUAGCAACUAAUAAACUCUAGCAAAUACCAUCGGUGGAAGCUUUUUUUUCAAGAUUAGUAAAAUCUAAUAAGAAUAUAUAUUAACAAGUCAAGCAAUUAAUAUAUUAUUUAACUAUCUUAAGUAGACAUCGCCGGUGGAAGCUUCUUUGCCAAGAUUAAAAAAAUCUAAUAAGAAAAUAUAUUAACAAGUCAAGCAAUUAAAAUAUUAUUUAACUAUCUUAAGCAAUACAAUAAAAUUAAUUAAAAGAUAUAUAUCUUCCUCGAGUGUCUCGAGAAAAUCUAAAUGUUCCUCAACAUUUACAGGAAGCGAUUCACUCCGAAGCCAAUCUUGAAGGCACACUAGAGUUUCNNNNNNNNNNNNNNNNNNNNNNNNNNNNNNNNNNNNNNNNNNNNNNNNNNNNNNNNNNNNNNNNNNNNNNNNNNNNNNNNNNUUAAUGAACUCCUAAAUUGGUCAAGAAUACGCCCUCCAGUACUAAAUGCACUUUCAGAUGCCACACUUGAAAUAGGAAUAGCAAGCACAUCUCGAGCCAUUUUAGCAAGAAUAGGAAAUCUAGGUGAGUUCACCUUCAACCAAACCAAGAUAUCAAAGUCCGAUCUUUCAUUUUCAGGAUCUUCUGCAAGAUACUUUUCCAAGUUCACCUUCCACCAAACCAAGAUAUCAAAGUCCGAUCUUUCAUUUUCAAGAUCUUCUGCAAGAUACUUUUCCAAUUUUGUUUUAGAAUCUACACCUCCACUUGAAGCUUUAUGUUUUCUUAUUUCAUCUAAAAGUUCACCUAAACCAGGAGUUGAAGAGCUUGGCAAAGAGGUAGAAACUUCACCACCAAUAUCUUUUGAAACCGACUUAGAGACAUACUCAUUAAACAAUGAACUCAUAUAAGUAUGAACCUCUUUUUCAAUAAUUAUCCCUUCAUCUCCAAACAUCUUCUUAAGUACAAAACUAACAAUAGUAAACUUGUAGCGAGGAUCCAAACACAAGCAAUGAAAAUCAUUUUGUUCAUUUUUGUUGGUUCACCCCAAUACUUCUCAAAUUCUAUCUCACUCAAAAGUUUAUCUUCAGUUGUUAUUAAUCGAUUUAAGUAAACAUUAACUUGACAUAUUUCAAGAAAAUGGGCAUUUGAUGUUACAUAAAGUGAUCCAGACACCUUCAAAGUGAGAUUAUAAAAUAUUUCAAGAAAUUGUGCAAUUCUCUUUACAUCAUCCCAAUCAGUNNNNNNNNNNNNNNNNNNNNNNNNNNNNNNNNNNNNNNNNNNNNNNNNNNNNNNNNNNNNNNNNNNNNNNNNNNNNNNNNNNNNNNNNNNNNNNNNNNNNNNNNNNNNNNNNNNNNNNNNNNNNNNNNNNNAUAUCACGAUCAGAAUAUUCUUUAAUUGCACGCUCAUAUUCUAUAGCCCUGCUCAACAUCAAGUAGGUGGAAUUCCACCUUGUAGGAACAUCUAAGUAUAAAUACUUCUUGACAAUAUUUUCACUUUCACAACAUUCCUGAAACUUCCUCAACCUAGUAGGAGACUGUCUAAUGUAUCUGACUACACAUAUAACACGAGCAGUAGAAAUACUUGACUCUUUUAAACCAUCUUUCACAAUAAGAUUUAUAAUAUGAGCCAUGCAUAUCAUGUGAAGGUGUUGACCAUUCAUGGAAUUGGUUCCCCAAUCAUUUAAUUUGUCAGACAACUUCUCCACGUCACAUCAUUUGAACUGCAUUGUCAACUGUGACAGUGAAAAUCUUUUACAAACCCCACUCAUGCAAAUAAUCAAUAAUACACAUUGCCAUAUCUUCACCUUUAUGACUAGUAAUUGGAGAAAAGUUAAUAAUUCUUUUAUGCAUAAUCCAUUCACUAUCAACCCAAUGGGCCGUGAUGCACAUAUAGUUAGUUUUUUGAAUAGAAGUCCAUGUAUCAGUGGUAAGAUUUACUCUUUGACUUGUUCCUUUAAGAAACUUCAUUAAUUUAUUUUUUCCAUAUUAAAAAGAGCAAAAUAAUACCGUGUAACAGUAGUACGGGAAAGAAUAUGAAAACAAGGUUGUGCCACUUUCAUACAGUUUCUAAAGCCUUCCUUCUCAACAAAACUAAACGGAAGUUCAUCAACAAUCACCAUACGACACAAAGCCAUCCUACAAUCUUCUUGAUCAAAUUUCCAUGGAAUAAGACCACCUUUAUUACCCCCCGAUAAUGUUUGAAAUUAUAUUAGUUUUUGACCUUUUUCAACUUUAUAAGGAUUCUUUGGACAUUUAUCGAUAUGACCAUUCAUNNNNNNNNNNNNNNNNNNNNNNNNNNNNNNNNNNNNNNNNNNNNNNNNNNNNNNNNNNNNNNNNNNNNNNNNNNNNNNNNNNNNNNNNNNNNNNNNNNNNNNNCUUUUGUCUCAAAAUAUUCUUGUCCACAAAAUCUACAUGCAUAUUUAUUAUUUCCUUUAGCAUCAACUUUUUCUUCAAAAAAUUCCCAUGCCCGAAAUCGUUUUCUCAUUUGUUUUGAAACUGUCGAGUGAGUAGUUGCAGCUGUAAACUUUGAAUCUUUACUUUCAUCAGCUACUUUAUCAAUAUUAUCAUUUUCAGCCAUGUGAAGUGUAUGAAGAAUGUAACUUACAGUCUUAAACGAGUUGAAUGAAGCAAAGCAAGACGAAGUCAGCACUCCUCUCUCUUGACUUAAAAAUUAUGGCUGGAAAAAAAUCAAGAAGUUCCAUUACUGUUUAUUUUGUUUGAUUGAGAACAUGUAUGAAGAUCUCCUAAUUCUUGACUGCUAACUUGAAGUUUUGUUUAGAAUUCCUCUUAAAUUUACACCUCAUAUCACUCAGUAAGUUAAAAGAUGUGUUCUUUCUUGGUCACUUUCUGCGGCAUCAUAUGAAUGUUACAUAUUUUCUGCUUGAAACUGUAUUGGGAGAUAAUAUUACUAAUCUUUUAGGUAUUAACUAUUUCAUACUUGA